rnacentral:SRP_RNA from 1 species
GUCAGGUAUGGUGGAGCAUACCUGUAAUCCUGGCUACCAAGAGGCUGAGGUUGGGGGAUCACUUGAGCUUGGGAGUUCUGGACUACAGUGGGCUAAGCUGAUUGGGUGUCCAAACUAAAUUUGGCAUUAAUUCGUUGAAACUCUUAGAGCUGUUGGCCACCAGCCCCUUGCCUAAAGAGGAGCAAGCUGGCCCAGAUUAGAAAUAGAUUAGGUCAAAGUUCCUGUAGUGAUCAUAAUGGGAUUAUGCCUGUGAAUAUCUUCUGCACUUCUAGACUUGGUAAGUUAGGGAGAUAGUCUUUU